UGGGGAAUCUUGGACAAUGGGGGCAACCCUGAUCCAGCCAUGCCGCGUGAGUGAUGAAGGCCUUAGGGUCGUAAAGCUCUUUCGCCUGUGAAGAUAAUGACGGUAGCAGGUAAAGAAACCCCGGCUAACUCCGUGCCAGCAGCCGCGGUAAUACGGAGGGGGCAAGCGUUGUUCGGAAUUACUGGGGCGUAAAGGGCGUGUAGGCGGUCUAAUCAGUCAGUGGUGAAAGCCCUGGGCUCAACCCAGGAAUUGCCUUUGAUACUGGUUGGGCUAGAGUUCGGGAGAGGGUAGUGGAAUUGCCCAGUGUAGAGGUGAAAUUCGUAGAUAUUUGGAGGAACACCAGUGGCGAAGGCGGCUCACUGGCUCGAUACUGACGCUGAGGUGCGAAAGUGUGGGGAAGCAAACAGGAUUAGAUACCCUGGUAGUCCACACCGUAAAACGAUGAAUGCCAGUCGUCGGGUAGCAUGCUAUUCGGUGACACACCUAACGGAUUAAGCAUUCCGCCU
rnacentral:rRNA from 1 species